GAUGAACGCUGGCUACAGGCUUAACACAUGCAAGUCGAGGGGAAACGACGGGGAAGCUUGCUUCCCCGGGCGUCGACCGGCGCACGGGUGAGUAACGCGUAUCCAACCUGCCUCUGACUGAGGGAUAACCCGUCGAAAGUCGGCCUAAUACCUCAUGGCAUCGUCUGCGGGCAUCCAACGACGAUUAAAGAUUUCAUCGGUCAGGGAUGGGGAUGCGUCUGAUUAGCUUGUUGGCGGGGUAACGGCCCACCAAGGCUACGAUCAGUAGGGGUUCUGAGAGGAAGGUCCCCCACAUUGGAACUGAGACACGGUCCAAACUCCUACGGGAGGCAGCAGUGAGGAAUAUUAGUCAAUGGGCGGGAGCCUGAACCAGCCAAGUAGCGUGCAGGAUGACGGCCCUAUGAGUUGUAAGCUGCUUUUAUGCGGGGAUAAAGUGAGGGACGUGUCCUUCAUUGCAGGUACCGCAUGAAUAAGGACCGGCUAAUUCCGUG
rnacentral:rRNA from 1 species